CCUACGGGUGGCAGCAGUGGGGAAUAUUGCACAAUGGGGGAAACCCUGAUGCAGCGACGCCGCGUGAAGGAUGAAGUAUUUCGGUAUGUAAACUUCUAUCAGCAGGGAAGAAAAUGACGGUACCUGACUAAGAAUCCCCGGCUAACUACGUGCCAGCAGCCGCGGUAAUACGUAGGGGGCAAGCGUUCUCCGGAUUUACUGGGUGUAAGGGGAGCGUAGACGGCAUGGCAAGUCUGAUGUGAAAACCCGGGGCUCAACCCCGGGACUGCAUUGGAAACUGUCAGGCUGGAGUGUCGGAGAGGCAAGUGGAAUUCCUAGUGUAGCGGUGAAAUGCGUAGAUAUUAGGAGGAACACCAGUGGCGAAGGCGGCUUGCUGGACGAUGACUGACGUUGAGGCUCGAAAGCGUGGGGAGCAAACAGGAUUAGAUACCCUUGUAGUC
rnacentral:rRNA from 1 species